UACGAAAGGGGCUAGCGUUGUUGGGAAUUACUGCGCGUAAAGCGCACGGAGGCGGCCUUGUAAGUUGGGGGUGAAAUCCCCGGGCUCAACCCGGGAACUGCCUUCAUGACUGCAAAGCUAGAGGAUGCGAGAGGUUAGCGGAAUUCCGAGUGUAGAGGUGAAAUUCGUAGAUAUUCGGAAGAACACCAGUGGCGAAGGCGGCUAACUGGCGCAUUUCUGACGCUGAGGUGCGAAAGCGUGGGGAGCAAACAGG
rnacentral:rRNA from 1 species